UUCCCUAAUGCGAUUGGGAGUCCGUUUGAUGCCCCUUUGCAUUCCAAUCACAAAGCUCAUCUUAGGCAGUCACUAAAUGGAUAUUGUCCAGCCAGAAUGUUUUUGGGUGUCAUGGACCAUUCUGCCUGGAAAAGAGUUUGGGACUUUCAACCUACCCAUUUCAGGACGGAUCCAGUCUCCAUUUCCUAAGAUAACUUUUUGUCAUCAUGACCUUCCCCAUUGAUCCUGCCUGGGAAGACUCAGACCAGCCUCUCCGCAGAAGCCUGAUCCCUGACUACGGUGCUCUCUUGGGUGGGACGACAGCUAAGGAGAAGGCGCAGAAGGCAAAGUUAAUGAUAUUUCACUUUAGAGAAAAUACGGCUGUGAAUUAAGACAGAUACUAUUGUAGGAGAGGUGGGAGAAGGAAAUGGCGACCUACUCCAGUGUUCUUGCCUGGGAAAUCCCAGGACAGAGGAGCCUGAGGGCCACAGUCCAUGGGAGGUAGGGGGGUGUCACAAAGAGUCAGACACGACUCAGCAGCUAAACCACAAAACUGAGAGAACAGAGACGUGGAGAGUUUGUCACUUCCAUAUAGAUCACGGGCUUUAUUUUGUGGUUUGGGGGAAUAUUUGAUUUGACUAUACAAAACCACUUUUUUGCUGUUGUACUAUUUAAUGUUUAUAGAUCAUUGCAGACAGAAAAGAUCACUUAAAAGCUGUUUACUGUGUGCCUGUUUGCUUUGCACUCAGAUUUGAAAAUAAAAAAUAAACAAGGUAUCAUUCCAGCUUCCUAAAAAAAGAAUAAUAAUAUUGUAGGAGAGGCAAAACUUUUCCUCUACUUUUAGGGUCUCUGACUAAGCCUGAGAAUUAAGCUGACACAGGACAGACGAACAGGGAAAAGUGUGCACAGCUGAGCUCUGCACUACACGGGGCCCACUGUGUGGGUCCACUCAGGUGCGCAUCUUUUUCACUAAAUACAUACUGCACGGCCCACGCUUGGCUGAAUCCACAGGUGUGGAACCACAGGAAGAGAGGGCUGACUGUAAUGUUACCUCUGGGUUUGAAUCACCCAGGGGUCGGCACCCCUAAUUCCUGCGUUGUUCAAGGGUCAACUGCCAAUUUUAUUUAGUACUUUAAUAAUUUUAUGACGUGGACAUGGGAGCCCUUCAGGAACAUGAAGAUCCAGAAGGCAGCUGGGGAGGGGGGCUGGGAAGGAGACUCCAGAUGGAGGGGCAUCCCGUAUGCUUACAGCUGAUGCUCACUGUACAGCCGAAACGGCUGAGUGAGUCACACACACACAGCAGAAACUAUCACAG
ensembl:lncRNA